GUUUCUUCCACAGAAGUGGAUGGCAUUUGCUUUAACUUGCCACAACCACUUGUAAGAGGGUCUGCACCUCAGGAAAACUGUCUCCGUGGGAAGCCGGCUUUUUGCAAAGGGGUCUCAGGGCCGUGGGCCUCGGGUGUCCUCCGGCUCCCCAAAGCACAGGGACGAGGUGAGGGGCUUAGACCAUGCCUGGCAAUGUUGUUUCUUACACCUGGGUGUGUGGCAUUUUGUUUAGCUGACUACCCCCACUUGGGAUAGGUUUUCCACAGCAAGAGCAUAUUUUUCUUCGGAAGCCGUUUUUGUCCCAAGGGUCUCCGUGCUGUG
rnacentral:lncRNA from 1 species